UACGGAGGAUGCAAGCGUUAUCCGGAUUCAUUGGGUUUAAAGGGUACGUAGGUGGCCCUGUAAGUCAGUGGUGAAAACCUGCCGCUUAACGGUAGGCGUGCCAUUGAUACUGCGGGGCUUGAGUACAGUUGAGGUAGGUGGAAUGUGUAGUGUAGCGGUGAAAUGCAUAGAUAUUACACAGAACUCCGAUUGCGAAGGCAGCUUACUAAACUGCAACUGACGCUGAUGUACGAAAGCGUGGGUAGCGAACAGGAUUAGAUACCCUGGUAGUCCACGCCGUAAACGAUGCUCACUGGCUGUAUGCGAUACACAGUAUGUGGCCAAGCGAAAGCGCUAAGUGAGCCACCUGGGGAGUACGCCGGCAACGGUGAA
rnacentral:rRNA from 1 species